GACCGUUGGAUCAGGCUUGGACCGCUCAGAUCAGCCCAAAAAUCAGCCUUUUACUCCUCAUCAAGGUCGGAUUUAACUACAGUCAUUCGAUCGUGCUUCAGAUGAGAUCUAGGCCAUUGAUCAGCACUUUUGAUCUCCUAUUCAAAGUCAAGAGCGUCCUCAGCAGUUGGAUCUGAUGAUGGAUGUAUUUUCGGCCAUU
rnacentral:lncRNA from 1 species